rnacentral:rRNA from 1 species
CCUACGGGUGGCAGCAGUGGGGAAUAUUCGGCAAUGGGCGGAACCCUGACCGAGCAACGCCGCGUGAACGAUGAAGGUAUUCGGAAUGUAAAGCUCUUUUAACAGGGAAGAAAGGGAAAUUUGACGGUCCGUGAUGAAUAAGCUCCGGCUAACUAGGUACCAGCAGCCGCGGUAAUACGUAGGGAGCGAGCGUUAUCCGGAAUAAUUGGGGGAAAAGGGUGCGUUGAUGGGAUAGAAAUCAUGUGGUAAAAAUGCUGGGCUAACCCGAGUAGUGCAACAGAUACUGCCAAGCUCGAGUAUGACAGAGGCAAGUGGAACUACAGGUGUAGCGGUGAAAUGCGUAGAUAUCUGGAAGAACACCAGUGGCGAAGGCGGCUUGCUGGGUCGCUACUGACAUUGAGGCACGAAAGCGUGGGGAGCAAACAGGAUUAGAUACCCGAGUAGUC